AGCGAACGCUGGUGGCAGGCCUAACACAUGCAAGUCGAACGAACUCUUCGGAGUUAGUGGCGGACGGGUGAGUAACACGUGGGAACGUGCCUUUAGGUUCGGAAUAACUCAGGGAAACUUGAGCUAAUACCGGAUGUGCCCUUCGGGGGAAAGAUUUAUCGCCUUUAGAGCGGCCCGCGUCUGAUUAGCUAGUUGGUGAGGUAAAGGCUCACCAAGGCGACGAUCAGUAGCUGGUCUGAGAGGAUGAUCAGCCACAUUGGGACUGAGACACGGCCCAAACUCCUACGGGAGGCAGCAGUGGGGAAUCUUGCGCAAUGGGCGAAAGCCUGACGCAGCCAUGCCGCGUGAAUGAUGAAGGUCUUAGGAUUGUAAAAUUCUUUCACCGGGGACGAUAAUGACGGUACCCGGAGAAGAAGCCCCGGCUAACUUCGUG
rnacentral:rRNA from 1 species